AGCAGCCGCGGUAAUUCCAGCUCCAAUAGCGUAUAUUAAAGUUGUUGCAGUUAAAAAGCUCGUAGUUGAAUUUCGGGAUCAAAGGAUCGGUCAUGCCUUGGUAUGUACUGGUUUUAUUGGUUCUCACCUUCUAAAGAACCAUAAUGUCAUUCAUUUGAUGUUAUGGGGAAUUAGGACUGUUACCUUGGAAAAAUUAGAGUGUUUAAAGCAGGCUUACGCUUGAAUACAUUAGCAUGGAAUAAUGAAAUAGGACAUCAGAUUCUAUUUUGUUGGUUUCUAGGAUCGAUGUAAUGAUUAAUAGGGAUAGUUGGGGGCAUUAGUAUUCAAUUGUCAGAGGUGAAAUUCUUGGAUUUAUUGAAGACUAACUACUGCGAAAGCAUUUGCCAAGGAUGUUUUCAUUAAUCAAGAACGAAAGUUAGGGGAUCGAAGACGAUCAGAUACCGUCGUAGUCUUAACCAUAAACUAUGCCGACUAGGGAUCGGAUGAUGUCUAAUUUUAUAAUGACUCU
rnacentral:misc_RNA from 1 species